UAAGGAAUCUUCCACAAUGGGCGAAAGCCUGAUGGAGCAACGCCGCGUGCAGGAUGAAGGCCCUCGGGUCGUAAACUGCUUUUAUGAGUGAAGAAUAUGACGGUAACUCAUGAAUAAGCACCGGCUAACUACGUGCCAGCAGCCGCGGUCAUACGUAGGGUGCAAGCAUUAUCCGGAGUGACUGGGCGUAAAGAGUUGCGUAGGCGGUUAGUAAAGCGAAUAGUGAAACCUGGUGGCUCAACCAUACAGACUAUUAUUCGAACUCACUAACUCGAGAGUGGUAGAGGUAACUGGAAUUUCUUGUGUAGGAGUGAAAUCCGUAGAUAUAAGAAGGAACACCAAUGGCGUAGGCAGGUUACUGAACCAUUUCUGACGCUAAGGCACGAAAGCGUGGGGAGCGAACC
rnacentral:rRNA from 1 species